rnacentral:rRNA from 1 species
GACUAACGCUGGCGGCGUGCCUAACACAUGCAAGUCGAACGGGGUAGCAAUACCCAGUGGCAAACGGGUGAGUAACACGUGGUCAACCUACCUCUGUGUGGGGGAUAACUAGCCGAAAGGUUAGCUAAUACCGCAUACGAUCGUUUUGAGGCAUCUCGAGACGAUGAAAGGAGCAAUCCGCACGGAGAGGGGACUGCGUC